rnacentral:rRNA from 1 species
UACGAAGGGGGCUAGCGUUGCUCGGAAUCACUGGGCGUAAAGCGCACGUAGGCGGAUGUGUCAGUCAGGGGUGAAAUCCCGGAGCUCAACUUCGGAACUGCCUUUGAUACAGCACGUCUUGAGUCCGAUAGAGGUGGGUGGAAUUCCCGGUGUAGUGGUGGAAUGCGUAGAUAUCGGGAGGAACACCAGUGGCGAAGGCGGUUGCCUGGAGCUUUGCUGACGCUGAGGCGCGAAAGCGUGGGGAGCGAUCCGG